rnacentral:rRNA from 1 species
UACAGAGGGGGCGAGCGUUGCUCGGAAUUACUGGGCGUAAAGGGCGCGUAGGCGGCCAACUAAGUCAGACGUGAAAUCCCUCGGCUCAACCGGGGAACUGCGUCUGAUACUGGAUGGCUUGAAUUCGGGAGAGGGAUGCGGAAUUCCAGGUGUAGCGGUGAAAUGCGUAGAUAUCUGGAGGAACACCGGUGGCGAAGGCGGCAUCCUGGACCGAGAUUGACGCUGAUGCGCGAAAGCCAGGGGAGCAAACGGG